CUAUGACUGAUACUUAGAUAACUUAAUUUUUUAUUAACUUUACUGUCUUUACUAUUGAUUUAAAUCAUUCUUGUGGAAGAUUUUUUUUUUAUCUAGAUUCCUUGUUUAAUCAAUUAUCUGAAUAAUUUAUAGUUUAUACCAGUUGUAGCUUGUACUUAUAUAGUAACUUUCAAAGCUAACAAUUAUAUCAAGUACUAAAAGUACUUAUUCAGUUUUUGGUGGAUAUGAAAUGAGAUUGAUUCCUGGCGAUUGAUAUAAAAUCAAUUUUGAGUAAAGCCCAAAGUCUGUCAAAACUAUAUUCAACUAAUCAACACUAGUUUACAUUUUAAAGUAAACCCUUUAGAUGGAAUUCUAAACAAACUUAAUUUUAGGUCUCAGCUUAUUUCUUUCACAAAAGUGUUCAUCAUUGUAACUCAAGUUCCAGACAAUCUUUCUUUCUGUGUUGCCACAUGGAAUAAUAAAUUAUAAGUGAGAUAUUUUUAUCAUUAUUUCAUUGAAUAAAAUAAAAUACUUGAUUAUUGUAAAUGAAAUUUUAAUAUAUAUACCUUCCAGUGACCAGUUACUAAUAAAUAUUAAAAGUUCAUAGUAGCUUCAAAUAAUAUAAUAUCAUCGUACUAUAGUGUAUUAUGCUAUGAUGAUUUGGUAAUUGUUUUUAUUUGUUCAAUGAAAAAGGAAAUAUAUAAAUUUAUCUCAAUAUUAUAAUGAUUAGUCAAUAUUUUUUUUUACUUUUUUAGUGUAUCUGUAGCAUUAUUUUAAGCUUGAUUGUAUCAUAUCUGUAUCUAUAUUAUAAGUUUGAAUUUAUAUUAUAUUAAAAUUUUAUAAAAUUUAUUUAAUAUUUUAAUAUAAUACACUAUUAACACUUUUACAUUUUCUUCAUAUUCCAUUGUUUUUAAUGUUUAUAACCCAAAUAGAUAUUAUGU